GACGAACGCUGGCGGCGUGCUUAACACAUGCAAGUCGAACGAUGAAGCCGGAGCUUGCUCCGGUGGAUUAGUGGCGAACGGGUGAGUAACACGUGAGCAAUCUGCCCUUGACUCUGGGAUAACUGCGGGAAACUGUAGCUAAUACCGGAUACGACACCUUGGGGCAUCCCAGGGUGUGGAAAGAAUUUCGGUCAAGGAUGAGCUCGCGGCCUAUCAGCUAGUUGGUGAGGUAAUGGCUCACCAAGGCGACGACGGGUAGCCGGCCUGAGAGGGUGACCGGCCACACUGGAACUGAGACACGGUCCAGACUCCUACGGGAGGCAGCAGUGGGGAAUAUUGGACAAUGGGGGGAAACCCUGAUCCAGCAAUGCCGCGUGAGUGAUGAAGGCCUUAGGGUCGUAAAGCUCUUUUACCAGGGAUGAUAAUGACAGUACCUGGAGAAUAAGCUCCGGCUAACUCCGUG
rnacentral:rRNA from 1 species